UACGUAGGGGGCAAGCGUUGUCCGGAAUCAUUGGGCGUAAAGCGCGUGUAGGCGGUUCGGUAAGUCUGCUGUGAAAGUCCAGGGCUCAACCCUGGGAUGCCGGUGGAUACUGUCGGACUAGAGUACGGAAGAGGCGAGUGGAAUUCCCGGUGUAGCGGUGAAAUGCGCAGAUAUCGGGAGGAACACCAAUUGCGAAGGCGGCUUCCUGGACCGACACUGACGCUGAGGCGCGAAGCUAGGGGAGCAAACGGG
rnacentral:rRNA from 1 species